rnacentral:rRNA from 1 species
GAUGAACGCUGGCGGCGUGCCUAAUACAUGCAAGUCGAGCGAACAGACGAGGAGCUUGCCUCUCUGACGUUAGCGGCGGACGGGUGAGUAACACGUGGAUAACCUACCUAUAAGACUGGGAUAACUUCGGGAAACCGGAGCUAAUACCGGAUAAUAUAUUGAACCGCAUGGUUCAAUAGUGAAAGACGGUUUUGCUGGCGCUUAUAGAUGCAUCCGGGCAGCAUUAGCUAGUUGGUAAGGUCACGGCUUACCAAGGCAACGAUGGGUAGCCGACCUGAGAGGGCGACCGGCCACACCGGGACUGAGACGCGGCCCAGACUCGGACGUGAGGCAGCAGGGGGGAAUAUUGCACAAUGGGCGAAAGCGUGAGGCAGCGACGCCGCGUGAGGGAUAACGGCUUUCGGGUUGGAAACCUAUUUCUGCAGGGAAGAAGCGAAAGUGACGGUACCUGCAGAAGAAGAACCGGCUAACUACGUG